UGAUGCAGCUCAUACAAUGAAGGAGCAAUU
rnacentral:piRNA from 1 species